CGCGUAGGCGGUGCGGUAAGUCACCUGUGAAACCUCCGGGCUCAACUCGGAGCCUGCAGGCGAAACUGCCGUGCUGGAGUGUGGGAGGGGUGCGUGGAAUUCCCGGUGUAGCAGUGAAAUGCGUAGAGGUCGGGAGGAACACCUGUGGCGAAAGCGGCGCACUGGACCACAACUGACGCUGAGGCGCGAAAGCUAGGGGAGCAAACAGGAUUAGAUACCCUGGUAGUCCUAGCCCUAAACGAUGGAUGCUUGGUGUAGCCGGUACCCAAUCCGGCUGUGCCGCAGCUAACGCGAUAAGCAUCCCGCCUGGGGAGUACGGUCGCAAGGCUGAA
rnacentral:rRNA from 1 species